GGAGCUCUGGCGUAGGUAGUCCGCGCGCCGGUCUGAAAAGCCGGAGGAGUUGGUGCGAUCCCAACGGGCUCCGCCA
rnacentral:tRNA from 1 species